rnacentral:rRNA from 1 species
UGGGGAAUUUUGGACAAUGGGCGAAAGCCUGAUCCAGCAAUGCCGCGUGUGUGAAGAAGGCCUUCGGGUUGUAAAGCACUUUUGUCCGGAAAGAAAUCCUUGGCUCUAAUACAGUCGGGGGAUGACGGUACCGGAAGAAUAAGCACCGGCUAACUACGUGCCAGCAGCCGCGGUAAUACGUAGGGUGCAAGCGUUAAUCGGAAUUACUGGGCGUAAAGCGUGCGCAGGCGGUUUGCUAAGACCGAUGUGAAAUCCCCGGGCUCAACCUGGGAACUGCAUUGGUGACUGGCAGGCUAGAGUAUGGCAGAGGGGGGUAGAAUUCCACGUGUAGCAGUGAAAUGCGUAGAGAUGUGGAGGAAUACCGAUGGCGAAGGCAGCCCCCUGGGCCAAUACUGACGCUCAUGCACGAAAGCGUGGGGAGCAAACAGGAUUAGAUACCCUGGUAGUCCACGCCCUAAAACGAUGUCAACUAGUUGUUGGGGAUUCAUUUCCUUAGUAACGUAGCUAACGCGUGAAGUUGACCGCCUGGGGAGUACGGUCGCAAGAUUAAAACUCAAAUGAAUUGACGAGGUCAUAGCUGUUCCU